GAUGAACGCUGGCGGCGUGCCUAAUACGUGCAAGUCGAGCGAACGGACGAGAAGCUUGCUUCUCUGAUGUUAGCGGCGGACGGGUGAGUAACACGUGGAUAACCUACCUAUAAGACUGGGAUAACUUCGGGAAACCGUAGCUAAUACCGGAUAAUAUUUUGAACCGCAUGGUUCAAAAGUGAAAGACGGUCUUGCUGUCACUUAUAGAUGGAUCCGCGCUGCAUUAGCUAGUUGGUAAGGUAACGGCUUACCAAGGCAACGAUGCAUAGCCGACCUGAGAGGGUGAUCGGCCACACUGGAACUGAGACACGGUCCAGACUCCUACGGGAGGCAGCAGUAGGGAAUCUUCCGCAAUGGGCGAAAGCCUGACGGAGCAACGCCGCGUGAGUGAUGAAGGUCUUCGGAUCGUAAAACUCUGUUAUUAGGGAAGAACAUAUGUGUAAGUAACUGUGCACAUCUUGACGGUACCUAAUCAGAAAGCCACGGCUAACUACGUG
rnacentral:rRNA from 1 species